AGGGUACACAGAGGUGGUUGCUCA
rnacentral:siRNA from 1 species